rnacentral:rRNA from 1 species
UACAGAGGGUGCAAGCGUUGUUCGGAAUUAUUGGGCGUAAAGGGCGCGUAGGCGGUGCGGUAAGUCUUUUGUGAAAUCUCCGGGCUCAACUCGGAGUCUGCAGGAGAAACUGCCGUGCUUGAGUGUGGGAGAGGUGAGUGGAAUUCCCGGUGUAGCGGUGAAAUGCGUAGAGAUCGGGAGGAACACCAGUGGCGAAGGCGGCUACCUGGACCAGCACUGACACUGAGGCACGAAAGCGUGGGGAGCAAACAGG